rnacentral:lncRNA from 1 species
AUUUUAACAACUGAAACAAACCAUCCAAAGAUUAUCAGGACAAGCCUAUUAUAAAUAUAUAGAACCCUAGAAGAUAACGAGGACAUCGGUUCCCAAACAAAAAAAUAUUCUGGACCUAUAUCAAACACAAAAAAGUAAUAAAAAUGGAGUAGUACCACUUAGAAGAAAUGGGAAAUUAAAAACUGAUCCAAUUAACAAAGC